rnacentral:rRNA from 1 species
GGAAUUUCAUAAAAUUUCUUUCUUAAUUUUAAAAAUUGAAAUUAAUUUUAUAUGUGAAGAAACAAUAAUAAAAAUUAAGGACAAGAAGACCCUAAGAAUUUUAAAAAUUUCAAUAAAAUGCUGUAUUUUAUUGAAAUUUUUUAAUUGGGGCGAUUAUUAAAUAUUAAAAACUUUAAUUUUUUUAAAAAAAGAACCAAUAAUAUUGGUUAUUUGAAAAAAUACU